rnacentral:misc_RNA from 1 species
GAUGAAGAACGUAGCGAAAUGCGAUAAGUAAUGCGAAUUGCAGAAUUUCCGUGAGUCAUCGAAUCUUUGAACGCACAUUGCGCCCGCUAGUAUUCUGGCGGGCAUGCCUGUCCGAGCGUCAUUUCAACCCUCAAGCCCCUGGGCUUGGUGUUGGGGAUCGGCGAGCCUCCGCGCCCGCCGUCCCCUAAAUCUAGUGGCGGUCUCGCUGUAGCUUCCUCUGCGUAGUAGCACACCUCGCACUGGGAAACAGCGCGGCCACGCCGUUAAACCCCCAACUUCUGAACGUUUGACCUCGGAUCAGGUAGGAAUACCCGCUGAACUUAAGCAUAUCAAUAAGCGGAGGA